CCCAAUGUUGUUGCCUUUUCCCCUUCUGUGGAAGUGUUUCAAUGUUUGAUUUCUAUAACGUUUUUUUGGCAUCCGUUUCAAGCUAUGCGACUUCUCGAACACAAUUAUGUAUGUGGUUGAGACUCAAUUUGUGGGUGUGUGUUGCUGCUGGGUUUAUGUUUUGUUUCUUCUAGAUAAGGAGUGCUCCCCCAAGGGAUUUUGGCUUCAGCAUUGGCAUCGUAGAAGGUUUUCGUUCCAGUAUCAAAUUUUUCCCUUCUCAAGUUUCAAUCAAACUCAAUGGGAGUUGAAGUCUAAUAAGAGCUUUUCAGUGUUUCCGUCACUCCUUCGAGAUUUCAGUAUCUUUCUUCUUCUACAUCACACUUGCUCCUCUAUCUCGGCGGCUGUCUUAAGUAACAAAGAAUCUGGAGCUUAUAAUGUCAAGGCACUUGAGCAAGAGAUUAAAGCAAAAUCCAGCGCUUGAAAACAGAUGCUGCAAGAAUAUCGGAUGAUGCAUUAGAAGACAAAUGCGGUGCCCUUGAAAGCAAGGUCCAUCAUUCUUGGUUAAGAAAAUAAAUCAAAUUUUCUUGGGAUUGUCAAUGGAACAAGAAAGAAGUUGAAUGAAAUAAGAGAGUAGCUGCCCUUGAAAGAAAGGUGGUGAUUGGCGCAAGAAAGAAGCUGAAUGAAAGAAGAGAGAAUCUGCAUUGCAUCUUGAAGUUAAGAACCUCACAGAGGUAUCCUUUAUAUUUUCUGUGAAGGAUGCCUGACAUUUGAUUGUAGAAAAUCUAUAGUUUUCCAAAAUUAGAACUAGAUUCAACUCUGGUGAUCCACUCCCUUCUUCGUUUCAAUGAUGAAUAUGAUGAUGUCCUAGCUGCAUCCUACCUUUCGGGUUUUGAGGGUCCAAGAUUUAAUCUUCAAUUGUUUCAUCAACAUUGUGAAAUUGUUUUAUCCUUUGACAUCAAUUCUUUUUAUUUCCUGUUGAACCUUGCCUUAUGUCUGUUUCUCACUGGAGUAGAUGGGUAGGAUCAGCGGAGGAGUGUAACGGAACCUUCUCAGAAUGGAAGAUGAUGCAGCAAAAGAGAGAGCUGUAGAAAGUAUAGUUUGACCUGCAAGUUUGAUGUUUGGUUUGAUUUAAGUUGUCACUUUGAAGUUAGAUCUGACUCUGAGUGAUCUGACAAUACCAUUCAGAAUAGAACUGUUAGACAUACAAAGUGGUUCCCCCCACCUUAUCACCAAUCUCAUUAUCAUCAGGAACUUCUUUCUGCCUUGGUACCAAGAGAAUCAAGACAUCUUUCUUAGAGCACAAUAGAAUUUUGUAGUUCAAACACUGUAUUAUCACUAGCAUUAUGUGAAAUUUCCAUAGUACUAUAUUGUCAUUAAGAUAACAUGAUUCUUUACCGACUAAUUUCUUAGUAGAAUAAUUAUGACUCAUGAGCCAUUCCUUCAUUCCUUCAUCUGUUUCUUCUCUUCUAUGGCCUGAGAAAUAAUCAAGGGAUGGCUUGGAAAAGAACGGCAAAUUGAUUUGAUUCUUAUUCUGCUGCUAUACUUCAUUAGACUCAUCCCAUAAACUCAACAACAACUCACGUAGGAACCAUGCAAAACUUAUAGAAAGAAAAGGGCAAUUUGAGGCUUUCGUGCAUGCAUGGAAGUGCCAGAUUUGUUUAAUUGGUUGUUUUUAUGAAGAAAUUAAAGGUCAUCGAAAGAGUGCAGAGGAACAGCCAUACACGGGUUGUGCUUCUCUCAAGUCUUUUCCUUUAAUUUUCUUUGGAUCUGCUUAUCUCAUUGGGUUAAUUUUCAUUAGUGAUCUAUCA